rnacentral:rRNA from 1 species
GGAGUCUGGGCCGUGUCUCAGUCCCAAUGUGGCCGUUCACCCUCUCAGGCCGGCUAUGGAUCGUCGCCUUGGUGGGCCGUUACCCCGCCAACUAGCUAAUCCAACGCGGGUCCAUCCUGUACCACCGGAGUUUUUCACACUUGACCAUGCGGUCAUGUGCGCUUAUGCGGUAUUAGCAGUGAUUUCUCACUGUUAUCCCCCGGUACAGGGCAGGUUCCCCACGCGUUACUCACCCGUCCGCCACUAAACUUAAAACUUCGUCGGCCGAAGCCUCUGUCAUAAUAAGUCCCGUUCGACUCGCAUGUGUUAGGCACGCCGCCAGCGUUCAUC